rnacentral:rRNA from 1 species
UUCUUGAAAUUUAAAGAUUUUGGCGGUAUUUUAGUCAGUUCAGAGGAACCUGUUUUGUAAUCGAUAAUCCACGAGUUAAUUAACUUUUUUUAAUAGUUUGUAUAUCGUUGUACUAGAAAAUUUUAUUAGAAUAGAAUUUUCAAAGAAUUUUUGAAAUAGAAUAUCAAAUCAAGGUAUAGCUUAUAAGAAAGAAAUAAUGGGUUACAUUAAUAUUAAUUUAAAGAUUUUAAAUUUAAAGUUUAAAUGAAUUUGGAUUUGAUAGUAAUUUUAAUUAAAUUAUUAGUAUGAUUUUAGCUCUAAAAUAUGUACAUAUCGCCCGUCGCUUUCAUUAUAUGUGGAAUAAGUCGUAACAAAGUAGUCUUACUGGAAAGUGAGUCUAGAAAGACAAAUAAGAGCUAGGUAUAGUAUUUUAGUUACAUUAAAAAGAGAAUUGUUAAUUCAGUUUUAUUUGAUUGGAAAUUUUUAUUAUUAAAAAAUAAAUUUAAUAAAUAGUUAAAUAAAAUAAUAUAAAUUUUAGUUUUAAAUAAAAAAAAUUAAUUUUAUUAUAGAUGAAUAGUAUUGUAAAAGAUAAAGUUAUUAAAAUUAAAAGAAAAAGUUAAUUUUGUACCUUGUGUAUCAGGGUUUAUUAAAAAUUAGUUAAAUAAUUUAAUCUCGAAUUUAAAAGAGUUAAAAUAAUAUAAAUAUUAUUGUUAAAUAAAUAUUUAAAAUGUUAUUUUAGUAAUGAAAUGUUAAUCGUUUUUAAUAUAUCUAGUUAUUUAAGAAAAAAAUUUAAUUUUAUUUAUUAUAAUAUUUUAUUUUUUAGUUAAUAAAAUAUUAAUAAUAAGUUAAUUUUUUAAGGGAAAAGCUUUAAGAAAUAUUUUUAAAAAUAAUAUAAAUUUAAAUGAAUUUUAGGAUUAGAAAUGUCUAAAAAUAAAAAAUUGUUAUAAUUAAUAUUUAUAAAAUUAAAAUUUAUAUAACUUUUUAAGGUUUUAUAUUAAAUUAUAAAUUUUAGUUAAUAAAAUUUAGUAAUUAUGAUAAAACUUAGUAAUUAAUUAUAUUUAAUAAAAUAAAUUAUUAAGGUUUAAUAAAAGAAUUCGGCAAAAAAUUUUUUACCUGUUUAUUAAAAACAUGGCCUUUUGUUAAUAAUUUAAGGUCUAGCCUGCCCACUGAGGAUUUAAAUGGCCGCGGUAAUAUGACCGUGCAAAGGUAGCAUAAUCAUUAGUCUUUUAAAUGGAAACUGGUAUGAAAGGUUGCAUAAAAAAAUAACUGUUUCUAUUAAAUUUAUUAUGAAUUUUAUUUUUAAGUAAAAAAGCUUAAAUUUAUUUAAAAGACGAGAAGACCCUAUAGAGUUUAAUAAAUAUUUAAUUUUAAUUUUUUGGAAAUUUA